rnacentral:rRNA from 1 species
CACCCCAGUUACCGGACCUGCCUUCGGCGGCUCCCUCUUCUCAGUUGGGUCACCGACUUCGGGCAUUUCCGACUCCCAUGGUGUGACGGGCGGUGUGUACAAGACCCGGGAACGUAUUCACCGCGGCAUUCUGAUCCGCGAUUACUAGCGAUUCCGGCUUCAUGCAGCCGAGUUGCAGGCUGCAAUCCGAACUGAGGCGUUAUUUUUGGGCUUUGCUUAACAUCGCUGUCUCGCUUCCCUCUGUUUACGCCAUUGUAGCACGUGUGUAGCCCUGGCCAUAAGGGGCAUGAUGAUUUGACGUCAUCCCCGCCUUCCUCCUGGUUAUCCCAGGCUGUCCCAUCAGAGUGCCCAGCUUUACCUGCUGGCUACUGACGGCAGGGGUUGCGCUCGUUGCGGGACUUAACCCAACAUCUCACGACACGAGCUGACGACAACCAUGCACCACCUGUCUCCAAUGCCCCGAAGGGCGGCAGACAUUACUCUGCUUUCAUCGGGAUG